rfam:Trichobilharzia regenti genome assembly, scaffold: TRE_scaffold0003906
UUUAGAUACGGUGAUAUGGUUCCAGAAACGAUAGUUGGAAAAAUUGUUGGCGGUAUGUGUUCACUUUCUGGAGUACUUGUGAUUGCCUUACCAGUUCCUGUCAUUGUAUCAAAC